CGCUGCCGCCUCCAUCCCCGGCAACAUCUUCGUCACACACAGCCGCCUCCUUCCGCACCCCUCUUCGUCGCGCACGGCAACAAAUGGAGGUCCUCUCAGGGAGUACUAAUAUUAUUCAGUUAGCAUGCUUUUCGUGGAAGAGGAAUGAGGAUGUAAAGGUUAGAAAAUGGUAACUGAAUGAGUGUUCUCUUUUUCUGCCUCUGACUUGAAGAAAUAUACUUGUUAAUAAAUAGAAGCUUAGAUCUGUAAUCAAGCUGUGAAAGAGAGUACUGUAAUAGAGACUUCUAUAAGCAGAGGUAUGUACCUGCAUUUACACCUUAAAUAUCCCUUAAUUAGUUCUGUAUGGUUCGUCUAAUUCAUGUUGAAAUGGUUUUCUUUAGUCUGUUAAUUGUAUAGGUAAUUAGACGGUGUAGUACUAUGGCGGUGGUAUACUGAUUUGGCGUAAUAAUUACGGACAUGACUUCGUGUGUACAAUCUUACAGACUUGUUGUUUUUCAUUCAGUUGAAGAGCUCCCCAGGCUUAACAUCUUUCUUGGAUAAUUGCGUUGCUAAAUAUGAAGUGUUUCUCUACUUCAGGAUUCGCUCAUGUGCCAAAGCCAACUCGGGGAAGCCUUCCUGGACUCCUGAUCAACCAGGACAAUCACGACACGAGCUUAAGCGAGCGGAACGUCGAAGGAGGAUCUUGGGGAUGACGGAGGCGUCAACAACAACCUCAAAGGCAAGAUAUAUUGCUUUCAUGUCUCUGUGUUUCUUACUUUAUGCAACUAUGUCGGUAUUAAGGCCGUAUAUUCGAUGGGAGCAACGAAAACUGAACUUGUUAAUGUUUAGAAUUUGGACGAUCUGUUUGAUACGAUACGUCUGCACUGGUGAUGCCGAACAUUGUUCAAGACACUGUGGGUUCAGAUGUGAGGAAUACAAUUUGGCUUGCAGGGUUCAGGCUACUCUCUUGUGCUUGUUUUGCCUUGUGAUUACUUGAAACUGCAGCCUGCACAUUGAAUGGGCACUUUAUUUGUUAGGGCGAAAGGCUGAAGCAAAGAAAGCUGCUGCUCUUUGAGCUGUAGUACAUUUCAUUUGAGAGCCAGAUGAGGUCCGUUAAAUUAGGAUUAAAGUCUGCACAAUAAUUAAAAACACUGAAUAAGCAAGGCCAUUCAGAAGAAGUUUGCACUUAACACCGUGCAGCACCAUUGCUACUAGCUAAGGUAGAUUAGGCCACGACAUGUCCAAGCCAUGUUGUGCUUGUACCCUCUGCAUAUCCAGCUGUUUUCUUACAGCUCCGCUAGCAUCAUAAAUUAAUUGUGGGAUAUGAUGCACAUGAGUAGUCUUCUGUUUAUUUUUCACCAGCAAAGUACCACUCUUAUUAGUGCAUUUGUUUUUGUUUUUUCAAGAUAUGUACAUUUACGAACAGGUUUCAAAAUCAAAUGAACACAAUAGUUUGGUUUGCAACUCCCCACUUAGUUUGCAAUCAUCUACAUCAAAUGGCAAUGAUGAAGUAUUCAACGUUUUGUGUUAUGUCUAGAUGAACUUUGUAGUUAGAAAGGAGUUCUGAAAUUGCUAGGGGGUAUGUUUGGUUUAAUGUAAAGUUGACAUACAUAUAUAGACACAAGUUUUCCUGAUUCAUGUAUAUAUAACCAGACUCGUCCAAAAGAUAGCAUAUGGAAAAUGGAGUCAAAAUCAUGGAUUUCUACUUUAUACCAGAGCUCUUACCCAACUCGUCCAUUUGGAUUUUGGUAGAUAUAGUCAAGUAUAUUCACUCGCAUCAUGAAGAAGUUCCUCUUUUGGUUUGGAGGUCCAUUUGUUGAUAUGAAUUGCUUCAUAAUAUAUCUAACCAGUGAAAGUUUGAUGUAUACGUAUUAACACAUACAUGUAUGUCCUGACCUUUAGUCUUUUUU